CAUAUACUCCCUCCGUUCCGAAUUACUUGUCGCACGUAUGGAUGUAUCUAGAUGUGUUUUAGUUCUAGAUACAUCCAUUUCAGCGACGAGUAAUUUGGAACGGAGGGAGUAUUUC
rnacentral:pre_miRNA from 1 species